CCCGUUGGGGAAUUUUCCCCAAUGGGCGAAACCCUGMCGAACCAACSCCSCGUGAGGGAGGAAGSCCUUAGGGUGGUAACCCUUUUUUCUCUGGGAAGAAGAACUGACGGUACCAGAGGAAUMAGCCUCGGCUAACUCCGUGCCAGCAGCCGCGGUAAGACGGAGGAGGCAAGCGUUAUCCGGAAUUAUUGGGCGUAAAGCGUCCGCAGGYGGCUUUUYAAGUCUGUUGUCAAAGCCCGCAGCUCAACYSUGGAUCGGCAAUGGAAACUGGGAAGCUAGAGUGYGGUAGGGGUAGAGGGAAUUCCCGGUGUAGCGGUGAA
rnacentral:rRNA from 1 species